rnacentral:rRNA from 1 species
AUUGAACGCUGGCGGCAGGCUUAACACAUGCAAGUCGAGCGGGGUGAUGGUGCUUGCACUAUCACUUAGCGGCGGACGGGUGAGUAAUGCUUAGGACUCUGCCUAUUAGUGGGGGACAACAUCUCGAAAGGGAUGCUAAUACCGCAUACGUCCUACGGGAGAAAGCAGGGGAUCACUUGUGACCUUGCGCUCAUCGAUGAGCCCAAGUUGGAUUAGCUAGUUGGUGGGGUAAAGGCAUACCAAGGCGACGAUCUGUAGCGGGUCUGAGAGGAUGAUCCGCCACACUGGGACUGAGACACGGCCCAGACUCCUACGGGAGGCAGCAGUGGGGAAUAUUGGACAAUGGGGGAACCCUGAUCCAGCCAUGCCGCGUGUGUGAAGAAGGCCUUAUGGUUGUAAAGCACUUUAAGCGAGGAGGAGGCUCUUUUGGUUAAUACCCAAGAUGAGUGGACGUUACUCGCAGAAUAAGCACCGGCUAACUCUGUGCCAGCCGCCGCAGUAA